rnacentral:tRNA from 1 species
GCUUAACUAAAGCAUUGGUCUUGUAAACCAAAGACUGAAAACCACAACUUUCCUAGAAUA